UGUUGCCAGGGUGUUGCUAGAGGGGUGGUCAUUUGUUGCCAGGGUGUUGCUAGAGGGGUGGUCAGUGUUGCCAGGGUGUUGCUAGAGGGGUGGUCAGUUGUUGCCAGGGCGUUUGCUAGAGGGGUGGUCAGUUGUUGCCAGGGUGUUGCUAGAGGGGUGGUCAGUUGUUGCCAGGGUGUUGCUAGAGGGCUGGUCAGUUGUUGCCAGGGCGUUGCUAGAGUGAUGGUCAGUUGUUGCAAGGGUGUUGCUAGAGGGCUGGUCAG